rnacentral:rRNA from 1 species
AUGAACGCUGGCGGCGUGCCUAAUACAUGCAAGUCGAGCGAACGGACGAGAAGCUUGCUUUUCUGAUGUUAGCGGCGGACGGGUGAGUAACACGUGGAUAACCUACCUAUAAGACUGGGAUAACUUCGGGAAACCGGAGCUAAUACCGGAUAAUAUUUUGAACCGCAUGGUUCAAAAGUGGAAGACGGUCUUGCUGUCACUUAUAGAUGGAUCCGCGCUGCAUUAGCUAGUUGGUAAGGUAACGGCUCACCAAGGCAACGAUGCAUAGCCGACCUGAGAGGGUGAUCGGCCACACUGGAACUGAGACACGGUCCAGACUCCUACGGGAGGCAGCAGUAGGGAAUCUUCCGCAAUGGGCGAAAGCCUGACGGAGCAACGCCGCGUGAGUGAUGAAGGUCUUCGGAUCGUAAAACUCUGUUAUUAGGGAAGAACAUAUGUGUAAGUAACUGUGCACAUCUUGACGGUACCUAAUCAGAAAGCCACGGCUAACUACGUG